rnacentral:tRNA from 1 species
GCUCGGGUCGUUUAGAAAAGGGAUUGAAAAUCCCCGUGUCGGGGGUUCGAUUCCCUCCCCGGCCA